UCUACAACUUUCUAAAGGAGUCCAAGAAGAAAGGAAUGCUAAAGUUUAUUUUGUUUCUCCUGUUAAAUAGUUGUGAAGCCAACUGAAGAUUUUUGAGGGAAGGAGAAGAGAUUUCACGUCUCGUGAGAAUGUCCUUAGAGGAAUAUCUUCGGUGGGCAUGACAGUUCCACCAGGGUGAAAAAUAAGCAUAACACUAAAGCAGCACUAGGAAAUGUGGAAGAGCGAUACCAGCAGAAGCAAAACAUUUCUGGAUGAUAUAAAGCAGAUGGGAUUAGUCUGAUGAAAUAACCAAAUAGAACUGGAGCAGCAGUUGAUUUAUAAGAAGCAAUAACAGCAAAGGCAGAGCAAGAUGGCUGAAUAGACGCCCCCAGCAGUUGACCCCUGACAGAAACACCAUACUGGAAAAUCUAUCCACACAAAAAAUCACAUUCAUGAGAACCAAAAAUCAGAAAUCUCCAGACUGCUUUCCACAGUGACUGAUC